rnacentral:rRNA from 1 species
UACGUAGGGGGCGAGCGUUGUCCGGAUUUAUUGGGCGUAAAGAGCUCGUAGGCGGCUUAGCAAGUCGGGUGUGAAAACUCCAGGCUCAACCUGGAGACGCCACUCGAAACUGCUAUGGCUAGAGUCCGGUAGGGGACCACGGAAUUCCUGGUGUAGCGGUGAAAUGCGCAGAUAUCAGGAGGAACACCGGUGGCGAAGGCGGUGGUCUGGGCCGGCACUGACGCUGAGGAGCGAAAGCGUGGGGAGCAAACAGG